GCGUCAACAGUCAACAACAUCUGUAUAAACAGGUAUUUAAAAGUGAUACACCCAUAUGUGAAGAAAAAAGUCUAUGAACAAUGUUAUAACAUAUGGAGCAGAAACUGUGACAUUAACAAAAGAGUCUAAGAAAUGAAACGGAGAUCGGCGGGUAAUGUGGCGAGAACAUCAAAUAACAAGUGAGAAGUAACCACGAGAAGAGAAACGCAACAGAGGAAGGCUCAGACAGAGGAUGACAUAAAGAGGAAUUGGAUGGCGAUGGCCUAGAAUCGAGAGAAAUGGAGGAACUUAGAGGAGUUCAGCACUGUCUAACGGUUAGGUACAUGAUGAUGAUAAUGAUGAUCACAAAGUAAAUGACUGAAAAAUUUACUGAUUGUCCAGAAACCACACAAAAAAAUGAAGGAAUUUUCGAUAAUCCUUGAAAAGCGAUACUAUAGAAUAUAAUCAUUUACACAAAUGGCAAGAUUAUUACAUAGCCUUUGGCCUAGAUACAAAUUGAAUUCUUCAUUGGAGUAGUCUAGGUGUUGUAUUCCAAUAGAACCUGGUGUCGAAAUUUAACAUUUAUAUAUGUAACAACUUGACCAUGUAAUAGCUUUGUUUCAGAAAUAAAUGAAUGAACGGUU